rnacentral:rRNA from 1 species
UGCUAAUCUGCGAUAAGCGUCGGUAAGGUGAUAUGAACCGUUAUAACCGGCGAUUUCCGAAUGGGGAAACCCAGUGUGUUUCGACACACUAUCAUUAACUGAAUCCAUAGGUUAAUGAGGCGAACCGGGGGAACUGAAACAUCUAAGUACCCCGAGGAAAAGAAAUCAACCGAGAUUCCCCCAGUAGCGGCGAGCGAACGGGGAGCAGCCCAGAGCCUGAAUCAGUGUGUGUGUUAGUGGAAGCGUCUGGAAAGGCGCGCGAUACAGGGUGACAGCCCCGUACACAAAAAUGCACAUGCUGUGAGCUCGAUGAGUAGGGCGGGACACGUGGUAUCCUGUCUGAAUAUGGGGGGACCAUCCUCCAAGGCUAAAUACUCCUGACUGACCGAUAGUGAACCAGUACCGUGAGGGAAAGGCGAAAAGAACCCCGGCGAGGGGAGUGAAAAAGAACCUGAAACCGUGUACGUACAAGCAGUGGGAGCACGCUUAGGCGUGUGACUGCGUACCUUUUGUAUAAUGGGUCAGCGACUUAUAUUCUGUAGCAAGGUUAACCGAAUAGGGGAGCCGAAGGGAAACCGAGUCUUAACUGGGCGUUAAGUUGCAGGGUAUAGACCCGAAACCCGGUGAUCUAGCCAUGGGCAGGUUGAAGGUUGGGUAACACUAACUGGAGGACCGAACCGACUAAUGUUGAAAAAUUAGCGGAUGACUUGUGGCUGGGGGUGAAAGGCCAAUCAAACCGGGAGAUAGCUGGUUCUCCCCGAAAGCUAUUUAGGUAGCGCCUCGUGAAUUCAUCUCCGGGGGUAGAGCACUGUUUCGGCAAGGGGGUCAUCCCGACUUACCAACCCGAUGCAAACUGCGAAUACCGGAGAAUGUUAUCACGGGAGACACACGGCGGGUGCUAACGUCCGUCGUGAAGAGGGAAACAACCCAGACCGCCAGCUAAGGUCCCAAAGUCAUGGUUAAGUGGGAAACGAUGUGGGAAGGCCCAGACAGCCAGGAUGUUGGCUUAGAAGCAGCCAUCAUUUAAAGAAAGCGUAAUAGCUCACUGGUCGAGUCGGCCUGCGCGGAAGAUGUAACGGGGCUAAACCAUG